UCCUCGUGUAGCAUCAGAAGAUUUCAUAUUGGGUUAGCGACAACUAAUCAAUGAAAUUAAUGGAAUUUAUAUUCCACAUAGCUCCACAAAAAGGCAAGCCUCCUCUGCAACUUCACCUUCCCACCUAUCUCAUGCUCUGAAAUCAGAAUUCAUGUUUCUCUGAAGCAACCCAUCUCUCAGAAAAGAUAAAACCAGAAGAAGAAAACCCACCUCCAUUUCCUCUCCAAUGGCAGAACCAAGAAAUCCCAGAAAACCUAUCAAGAAAGCCCACCAGGAUCAGAACCUUCAACCCCAGAAGCCAAACGAAAAACCUCCUCCUUGGGCAGUUGUUAGGAAUCUUCUUACUUGUAAAUAUGUGCAACCAGUAGAGCAGCAAGCUGUGGUAGCAAACAGUAAGAGGUACAAGAAAAUGAGGUGUUCUGGUUCGCUUUGUAAUGAUACAAGAAUCAUGCAAAGGCCUGAUUCAUCUUUACCUGAAGAUUGUAAGAAAUGGGCUUCAAUCUGUUCUUCCACCAAUACUGCUUCUAGCAGAUCCAUGAAGGUUCCUCUGAACGAGAUCAAUGGAGUUGUUCCUACUCCCUCUUCUUCUUAUUCAUCCUCGUCUUUGUUCUCCUCUGGUUCUUCUGUUGGUGGGCCUUUCAGAGGAAUGCCUUUGAGGAGGCUUUCAGGUUGUUAUGAGUGUAGAACGGUUGUUGAUCCCAUUAAUGGAGUCCGAAAAGCUCCUGCUCUUAGAACUGUAGUUUGUUCUUGUCCCGAAUGUGGAGAGAUUUUCAGCAAAGCUGAGAAUUUGGAGGUCCAUCAAGCUGUUAGACAUGCGGUUUCUGAGCUGGGUCCUGAAGAUACUAGCAGAAACAUAGUAGAGAUCAUAUUUCAGUCAAGUUGGUUAAAGAAGCAAGCAGCAGUUUGCAAGAUAGACAGGAUUCUGAAAGUUCACAACAGCCAGAAAACCAUCACUAGAUUUGAAGAUUACAGAGAGUCCAUUAAAGCAAAAGCAAGCAAGCUUGCCAAGAAGCACCCCAGAUGUGUAGCAGAUGGCAACGAACUUCUGAGGUUCCAUUGCACAACCUUCGUCUGCUCAAUAGGCAUGAACGGGUCCUCCAAUCUGUGCAACUCAAUUCCCCAAUGCAACAUCUGCAACAUUAUAAGGAAUGGGUUCAAGGUCCCCACCGGCGACGCCGGAGCCGGGAUCUGCACCACGGCCACCAGUGGAAAAGCACACGACAAUGCUCAAAUUAAGUCGGAAGACGAUAAGCGAGCAAUGUUGGUUUGCCGGGUGAUCGCCGGCAGGGUUAAGAGGACCCAAGACACCAAUCCAGCAGAAGAGUUUGAUUCAGUCGCCGGUCCGACUGGAAUCUACUCAAAUUUGGAUGAACUGUAUGUGUUCAAUCCCAAGGCUAUAUUGCCAUGUUUUGUUGUAAUCUACAGAGGCUUUUAGUGGUUCCAUGGUUCCACUGAUCAGCCAUUGUUCCAUAUACAGAUUUGGUUUAAUUCGCUCUACUACAACACCAAAUGGGAGAAAGAGAUCUAGAGAGAGUAGUAGUGAACGAAGAACCACCGGAGAAAAUGGCGGAGGCGUAUAGGAUGAGACAAGAGGACAUGAAGGCUGCCAGGGCGGAGGCAUCUAAGAGGCCGUUCAGGCAGCAAGGAGGAGGCGCAGCUCACCCACGGUGCCCCUUAUCCUUCUCUCCGACGACCAUGGCUGCCGAGGGAUUUAUUUUAGUAGCUGCCGUCACUUACUUCACCUUGCAUGCUAAAAAGAAGCCUGAAGCUUCUGCCGUCAAUGUGGCCGCUAGGAAGGCCGACUUUGCCACCACCCAAGUGUGAGAGAGAGAUAUCUAAGGGUGGUUUUCAAUGAGAGAGAAACCACGAGCAAGAUGGAGGUUGAGACGGAGGAGAUGGAGAAAUGGAGAAGAGAGACGUUAGAGUGAAAAGAAUUUUAUUUAGGUGGUAGAAAGGGUAAGUUUUACAUCGAU